UACGUAGGGUGCAAGCGUUGUCCGGAAUUAUUGGGCGUAAAGAGCUCGUAGGCGGUCAGUCGCGUCUGCUGUGAAAACUCGGGGCUUAACUCCGGGCCUGCAGUGGGUACGGGCUGACUAGAGUGCGGUAGGGGAGACUGGAAUUCCUGGUGUAGCGGUGAAAUGCGCAGAUAUCAGGAGGAACACCGGUGGCGAAGGCGGGUCUCUGGGCCGCAACUGACGCUGAGGAGCGAAAGCGUGGGGAGCAAACAGG
rnacentral:rRNA from 1 species